CAGCAAUGAACAGGCAGGAAACAACACAGCAAAGUGUAGUAGAUAAUCUUUAGACUGCCUUAGAGGAGGACCUUUGUCUUUUUCCUUUCAGAGUCUAGUGUGCUUUGAAGAUGUAGCUGUGCAUUUCACGGAAGAGGAGUGGUGUUGCUGGAUCCUGACCAGAGAGCUUUGCAUAAGGAAGUCAUGGAGGAGAAUGAUGGGAUCAUGGCCUCCCUCGGUGGUGAUGAAUUGGAAAUGAAGAACAGGGGAGACCAUGACAAAACCCACACAGUAGAGAAACCAUAUGAAUAUUUGGAGUGUGGCGAGAGCUCCAUCUCCCUUUCCACUUCCUAUCAAAUAAAUCCUAUGGGAUGAAACCA